UGUGCUAGGCGGGGGGCUAGCGGUCCCCUACAUUCGCAACCCGCUAUAGCGAAGCCGAAGGGUCUCCCCAGAGGCCAGAGCGUGAGGAAAGCCUCGGAGAAGCGGCGUUGACGGUUGAGUCCUCUACGGCGUAUACCGGUGAACCCCGCCAGGCCUGGAAGGGAGCAACGGUAAAUCGGUCCCUGCGGGUGUUAGAGGAUCACUUGGCCUGAGCUGGCUGGCCGAGAAGCGCCUGGCGC
rnacentral:SRP_RNA from 1 species